rnacentral:rRNA from 1 species
UACGAAGGGGGCUAGCGUUGCUCGGAAUCACUGGGCGUAAAGCGCACGUAGGCGGAUUGCUAAGUCAGGGGUGAAAUCCUGGAGCUCAACUCCAGAACUGCCUUUGAUACUGGUGAUCUUGAGUCCGGGAGAGGUGAGUGGAACUGCGAGUGUAGAGGUGAAAUUCGUAGAUAUCUGGAGGAACACCGGUGGCGAAGGCGGCAUCCUGGACCAACACUGACGCUGAGGAGCGAAAGCCAGGGGAGCAAACGGG